GUAGCUGUUGCCAGGGCUGGAUUCUGUAGUAGCUGUUGGGAGAAGGACCUCUGGCUCCCACUCUGUGAGGGAGGAUUCCCCGCACAGACCAGUCUGUUAAAUAAAAGAGAUUCACGUUACUAAAGUGUGUGCUUCAAAAAGCAAUUCGCAAUUGCCCUGCAAACUAUUUCAGACCCUGAAAUCCACCAACAUGAUGUUGGGUGGAUUGUUCUAGAGAAAAACUAAAAAGAAAAAUUACAGUAUCUUAAAUAUUUUGUAAGGUUUUCUAUUCUUUUACCUGAACUGUUGAGUAUGCCUGUCCUUCUGUCUGAAUUAUCAGUGGGAAAGUUGGCAGAGGGAGAAUUCCCUUGUACAGACAGAGGUGUCACUGGCAGGUUCUUAAGACUGAAGAUGAAGAAGGUUUGAGUCUUUCCCUGUGUGGGCUGCUGGUGUCACUGCAAGGUGCAAAUGCAGAAAGUGCCAUCAUGUCUCAAGAAGCAUAAGAGAAGGCAAUAUUGAUGCAAGUGUGGAAGCCACAUUAAGAAACAACAUCCCGUCGGAGUUAAAACCCAGGUACAGCUCAUUCCUGAUGGUGUUCCCCACAGCCACGAGGAAGAGAAGAGGGAUUUUCCUCCCUCAGCUCCUCCAGCUGUAGACAUGGAGCCCAUGCUCAGCGAGGCACCCUUCUGCAAACCCACGCUGCUGGACAGGCCAGACCCGGGGUUUAUCCCUCCGGACCGUGAGCAAGUCAUCUCUCCUGGGCUGCCGCCAGCGGGGCCCUGCUCAUCUCGUUCCACCUUAAACCCUUCUGAGCAGUGUGCCUUGGCCUUCUGUGCCCCAUCUCUAGAGGAGGAGGAGAUCUCUGCUCAGUCCUGCAGUGCUAAUGAAUAGCAACAUCUCUGAAACAGUGUGACAGCGUGGGUGAGGUUCUGCCACCUCUAAAAGGAAAAACAAUUAAGCCUACUUUCCCCUGCCCCAGUUUAAGCUUAAAUCUUAAGCCUGGGAUGGAAUAACAGUCUCAUGUGUUUCAGACACCUAAAUUACUUUCAAGCUGCUUCUCCACUGGGCAUAGGAGGCUGCUGCACCAUAUAAAUUCUGUAAUUGUGUUUGAGAAAUGGAAAAAUCUUAUGUGCCCAAGCCACCUAAAGUGCAUAAUUACUCCACUGAAAUACCUUUGGAGUCUCCAGACUGAAUUGCCACUGACCAACACGCCGGCUGAAAUGUCAGACCCACUGCAGUGCAAGUCCCACCGUUUCACCAUCGCUGCUGUAUUCUCCAGUAAAGUGCCAGAACUGAAUUCAGCCUCCCAGUAAGUGAUAUCUAAAUCACUGCUGCAAGGAGAGAAUGAAAUAUAGGUGUGUGAGAGAGAGGGAAAGGAUAUGACUGAAUAAGAGAAACUCACACAGCAAGAAGAAAUAUCUGCAGCGGUGUACAGAAAUGUGCUGCUUUCCUCACGGCUUCUGCUGGCUGCCGUUGGUACAACACGUGUGUGUCAGGGACAUGUCUGAAGCUAUUUGGAAACCUGCUUUUGGAUGUGCUCAGUGGGUGACCUUUGCCAGCAGCGAUAUUCCUGUAGCAUGUACAAGGCCAGAGCAGAGUCUCCUGAACACUUUGCUGUGGGUACUUAUGAUGACCACUUGGCCUUGUGCAUUAGGAUGAGACUUUUUGAAAGGGAAGAAAAAAGGAGAAACAUGGAUAAGUUGCCCCAGGCAGUAAAAGUGUAUUAGGGCAAGCAGCAGACUCAGCAAAAAGCCCCACCCAACCCAGUAAG